rnacentral:lncRNA from 1 species
AAAAUGCUGCAGAAAGAAAAGCAAAGGAGAUGGAGCCUAAGCCAAUAGACCUAGCCAAAUUAAAGUUUUUUAUUGGCUUGAAAAAAGAAGUCAAGAAGACGUUACUAUCGAACUACGAUCAUUUGUUAGUUAAGUCUUAUUGGAAGAAAAAUAAGGAGAGUCGUCGUCUAGUCGUACUAUCCCCCAGCUCGGGCAGCAAGAUCAGCAAGCAGAUAAAGAUGUUCUAGCUAUAGCAGCUAUGCCUUUA